UUUAUGGAGAGUUUGAUCCUGGCUCAGGAUGAACGCUGGCGGCGUGCCUAAUACAUGCAAGUCGAGCGAACGGACGAGAAGCUUGCUUCUCUGAUGUUAGCGGCGGACGGGUGAGUAACACGUGGAUAACCUACCUAUAAGACUGGGAUAACUUCGGGAAACCGGAGCUAAUACCGGAUAAUAUUUUGAACCGCAUGGUUCAAAAGUGAAAGACGGUCUUGCUGUCACUUAUAGAUGGAUCCGCGCUGCAUUAGCUAGUUGGUAAGGUAACGGCUUACCAAGGCAACGAUGCAUAGCCGACCUGAGAGGGUGAUCGGCCACACUGGAACUGAGACACGGUCCAGACUCCUACGGGAGGCAGCAGUAGGGAAUCUUCCGCAAUGGGCGAAAGCCUGACGGAGCAACGCCGCGUGAGUGAUGAAGGUCUUCGGAUCGUAAA
rnacentral:rRNA from 1 species